GCCCGUAUAGCUCAGUGGUAGAGCGUAUCACUCGUAAUGAUAAGGUCCACGGUUCGAUCCCGUGUGGGGGCA
rnacentral:tRNA from 1 species